rnacentral:rRNA from 1 species
UACGUAGGGUGCGAGCGUUAAUCGGAAUUACUGGGCGUAAAGCGUGCGCAGGCGGUUUUGUAAGUCAGAUGUGAAAUCCCCGGGCUUAACCUGGGAACUGCGUUUGAAACUACAAGGCUAGAGUGUGGCAGAGGGGGGUAGAAUUCCACGUGUAGCAGUGAAAUGCGUAGAGAUGCGGAGGAAUACCGAUGGCGAAGGCAGCCCCCUGGGCCAAUACUGACGCUCAUGCACGAAAGCGUGGGGAGCAAACAGG